rnacentral:rRNA from 1 species
GACGAACGCUGGCGGCGUGCCUAAUACAUGCAAGUAGAACGCUGAAGAGAGGAGCUUGCUCUUCUUGGAUGAGUUGCGAACGGGUGAGUAACGCGUAGGUAACCUGCCUUGUAGCGGGGGAUAACUAUUGGAAACGAUAGCUAAUACCGCAUAACAAUGGAUGACACAUGUCAUUUAUUUGAAAGGGGCAAUUGCUCCACUACAAGAUGGACCUGCGUUGUAUUAGCUAGUAGGUGAGGUAAUGGCUCACCUAGGCGACGAUACAUAGCCGACCUGAGAGGGUGAUCGGCCACACUGGGAAUGGGACAAGGCCCAGACCCCCACGGGAGGCAGCCGUAGGGAAUCUUCGGCAAUGGGGGCAACCCUGACCGAGCAACGCCGCGUGGGUGAAGAAGGGUUUCGGAUCGUAAAGCUCUGUUGUAAGUCAAGAACGGGUGUGAGAGUGGAAAGUUCACACUGUGACGGUAGCUUACCAGAAAGGGACGGCUAACUACGUG